rnacentral:rRNA from 1 species
GACGAACGCUGGCGGCGUGCUUAACACAUGCAAGUCGAACGGAAAGGCCCUGCUUUUGUGGGGUGCUCGAGUGGCGAACGGGUGAGUAACACGUGAGUAACCUGCCCUUGACUUUGGGAUAACUUCAGGAAACUGGGGCUAAUACCGGAUAGGAGCUCCUGCUGCAUGGUGGGGGUUGGAAAGUUUCGGCGGUUGGGGAUGGACUCGCGGCUUAUCAGCUUGUUGGUGGGGUAGUGGCUUACCAAGGCUUUGACGGGUAGCCGGCCUGAGAGGGUGACCGGGCACAUUGGGACUGAGAGACGGACCAGACUGCUACGGGAGGCAGAAGUGGGGAAUAUUGCACAAUGGGCGGAAGCCUGAUGCAGCAACGCCGCGUGCGGGAUGACGGCCUUCGGGUUGUAAACCGCUUUCGCCUGUGACGAAGCGUGAGUGACGGUAAUGGGUAAAGAAGCACCGGCUAACUACGUG